rnacentral:rRNA from 1 species
UACGGAGGGUGCAAGCGUUAUCCGGAUUCACUGGGGUUAAAGGGUGCGUAGGUGGGCAGGUAAGUCAGUGGUGAAAUCUCCGGGCUUAACCCGGAAACUGCCAUUGAUACUAUUUGUCUUGAAUACCGUGGAGGUCAGCGGAAUAUGUCAUGUAGCGGUGAAAUGCUUAGAUAUGACAUAGAACACCAAUUGCGAAGGCAGCUGGCUACACGAAUAUUGACACUGAUGCACGAAAGCGUGGGGAUCAAACAGG